rnacentral:rRNA from 1 species
AGAAUCAACGCUGGCGGCGUGCCUAACACAUGCAAGUCGAACGCGAAAGUCCCGAAAGGGAUAAGUAGAGUGGCAAACGGGUGAGUAACACGUGGGUGACCUGCCUUCGAGCGGGGGAUAACGUCCCGAAAGGGACGCUAAUACCGCAUAACAUCCUGCCUUUUAAGAGGUGGAGAUCAAAGCCGGGACCGCAAGGCCUGGCACUUGAAGAGGGGCCCGCGUCUGAUUAGCUAGUUGGUGGGGUAAUGGCCUACCAAGGCAACGAUCA